GAUGAACGCUGGCGGCGUGCCUAAUACAUGCAAGUCGAGCGAACAGACGAGGAGCUUGCUCCUCUGACGUUAGCGGCGGACGGGUGAGUAACACGUGGAUAACCUACCUAUAAGACUGGGAUAACUUCGGGAAACCGGAGCUAAUACCGGAUAAUAUAUUGAACCGCAUGGUUCAAUAGUGAAAGACGGUUUUGCUGUCACUUAUAGAUGGAUCCGCGCCGCAUUAGCUAGUUGGUAAGGUAACGGCUUACCAAGGCAACGAUGCGUAGCCGACCUGAGAGGGUGAUCGGCCACACUGGAACUGAGACACGGUCCAGACUCCUACGGGAGGCAGCAGUAGGGGAUCUUCCGCAAUGGGCGAAAGCCUGACGGAGCAGCGCCGCGUGGGUGAUGAAGGUCUUCGGAUCGUAAAACUCUGUUAUUAGGGAAGAACAAAUGUGUAAGUAACUAUGCACGUCUUGACGGUACCUAAUCAGAAAGCCACGGCUAACUACGUG
rnacentral:rRNA from 1 species